rnacentral:rRNA from 1 species
UAAAAAGUUGGUUUACUAAAGGUAGUAGCAGAAUUUUUGAAACCUAAAGAAUUUGGCGGUAUUUUAAAUAAUUAGAGGAACCUGUUAAUUAAAUGAUAAUCCACAACAUAUCUUACCUAAAAUUUAUUUGUAUACCGUUGUUUUAAGGUUAUAUUUCAAAAUUAUAAUCGAAAAUAAUUCAUUUACAUAAAUCAAAUCAAGGUGCAGUAUAUUUAGGUUUUAAUGGGUUACAAUAUACUUAUAUAAACGGAUAUUUGUUGAAAAUAAGAUUUAAGGUGGAUUUAAAAGUAAUUUAAAAUUAAAAUGUUUAGAUGAAUAAAAAUUUAAAAUAUGC